UACGGAGAGUGCAAACGUUGUUCGGAUUCACUGGGCGUAAAGGGCACGUAGGCGGCUUGGCAAAUCGGUCGUGGAAUCCCGACGCUUACCGUCGGAACGGCGGCCGAAAAUACCGAGCUCGAGGGCGUGAGGGGUCACUGGAACUCCUGGUGAAGCGGUGAAAUGCGUAGAUAUCUGGAGGAACACCGGUGGCGAAGGCGGCAUCCUGGACCGGUAUUGACGCUGAGGAGCGAAAGCCAGGGGAGCAAACGGG
rnacentral:rRNA from 1 species